rnacentral:rRNA from 1 species
CGGAAGGGAAACUGGAAUUCCAAGUGUAGGGGUGGAAUCUGUAGAUAUUUGGAAGAACACCGGUGGCGAAGGCGGGUUUCUGGCCGAUAAUUGACGCUGAGAUGCGAAAGUGUGGGGAUCGAACAGGAUUAGAUACCCUGGUAGUCCACACCGUAAACGAUGUACACUAGGUGUUGGGGUACGAACCUCAGUGCCGAAGCAAACGUGAUAAGUGUACCGCCUGGGGAGUAUGCCCGCAAGGGUGAAACUCAAAGGAAUUGACGGGGGCCCGCACAAGCGGUGGAGCAUGUGGUUUAAUUCGAUGGUACGCGAGGAACCUUACCUGGGUUUGACAUCUAGUGGAAUACCUUAGAGAUAAG